GAACCACAGGGCCCAGCCUUGGCUUGUGGUUCUUUUACUAAAUAUGGAAUAGCGAUAAAGCUUAUGUAUCAUAUUUGUAAAAGAAAGCUAGGCACAUGAAGCAGAAUUAAUUCAUGAGGGAAAAUAUUUAUUUUACUCUCAAGUCUCCCGAAAGUUAUUGUAUUCAUUUAAACUCAAUUUCUAAUUUUUUUAGUUACCCAAAUACUAUUGCAUUAAAUGCAUUAAAGAGAGCAUUGUACCUAGCAGAUAUGUGAGAAACAGUUUGACUUUUUAACCACUAAAAAAUGUCCAAAUAUCAGAAUUUAUUUUAUUUUAAAUUUCAAAAAAAUCCUUAUUUUAUAUGAUAAAAAUCAAGUUGAUUUGUAAGUCAUAUAUAUCAGCUUAUUAUCAAGAACUAUUGCUAUGUAAAAGAACUUAGGACUGUGUAAUUAGAACUAUGUAAUAGAAAUAUUUACAGAAGACUAUAUCUGCCAACAUGAGAUACUCUACCACCAUAACUUAUAUCAAUGACUCUUGUUCUAUCAUCGUGUGCAUUAUAAAUAGUGCAAAAUUUCAAGAAAUUUCCAUUUUGAGAUAUAAGAAAUCAAUAUGCUGGGAAAACUAAUAUCAAACUCUGAAGUAGAUAUAUUUCAUUUUAUAUAUAUUUUAAAUGACCUUUAACUAAAGGUUAAAUUGGAUUGACACACUGAAGAUAAAUUUUUUUAUUAUUAUCAUCAUUAAAUUAUUAUUUUGUGACUAUUACUAUUCAACUAACACUACAUCUGAUAAUAUAAUGAUAAACACAUUCCUUUUUUAUAUUAACUAGCAUUUUUUUCGAGUUUCUUAAAGCUUUGUUUGCAACUCUGGAUGAUUUAUGUGGGACAUGAUAAAACCAAUCUCCACACAGGCUAAUUUGAGACCUGGCAUCAUUGUCUCUCUCUGAACAAUCUGGAAGCUUUUUUAUGGUAGUGAAUUGCUCAUUUGGGGUGCGAGGAUUGAAGCAGGCAAGUGUCUGGGUCAUUAUGUGCUCAGCCAUGUCUUACAUAGGUGUUUGGAUUUGUAUAGCACUGGUUAAUCUGUAAUGUGUUUUAAUUUAGAGACAUAAAUUCUGGCCAGAAUUCUAUGCUUUAAUUAAAUAGUGUCAAGGGAUUGAUCGCAGCAUAUUGAUCCAUAACUGAACAUUUUAUCCAUGAAGUCACAGGUCCAGUGAGUCAUCAUUGCCUAGAAUACCCUACUUCAAACAAUGAAACUCACUUUCAAUCUAUCAUCAUCUUUCACUCUUCAGUGAAACCCCAUGUAGCUUCCAGAUGUGGUUUCAGGAUUUCUCUAUAUUGUUGGAGAGAACAAGAACCUGAGACCUGCCGAACAGCAGGUGCCAAAGAUGCUGCUGUAACACCACAGCCCUCCCAUCUUCCAUCCUCCACUGGCGCUGAGUGGCAGUCCCAUGUGACAGGAAGUGGAGGCAGAGCUGGGCCAGCCCAGGAGCCACGUGCUGGAGCCAGAUACUCUGUUUUUCUACAAAUGGAAAGUUUGUGGCAUCCUUGACUCAAGCAAAUUUUUCAGCACCAUUUUUCAAGAGCGUGUGCUCACUUCACCUCUCUGUAUCGUGUUUUGAUGCUUGUCCUGGAAACCAACCAUGAGCUGUGAUGAAAUCCAGGCAACUGAGUUGUGUUUCAGCCCAAAGCAGCAAAUGGAAUCCAGCUUCAGGACCAUCAUCUGACAUAGGGGAAGAAGACUUACAUAGAAGGCCUAACCAGCACCCAAGAUCAUGCUCAUAGGUGGAGGAGACUUGCUUUGUCUCAGAUGAGACUUUGGACUGUGGACUUUUGAGUUAAUGCUGAAAUGAGUUGAGACUUUGGGGAACUGUUGGGAAGGCAUGAUUGGUUUUAAAUAUGAAUAUAUGAGAUUUGGGAGGGGGUCAGGGGUGGAAUGAUAUGGUUUGGCUCUGUGUCCCCACCCAAAUCUCAUCUUGUAGCUCCCAUAAUCCUCCCAUGUUGUGGGAGGGACCCAGUGGGAGAUGAUUGAAUCAUGAGGGCGGGUCUUUCUCAUGCUGUUCAUGAUCCCAUUCAUGUGAGAAAGACCCAUGUGAUCAUGAAUGGGUCUCACAAGAUCUGAUGGUGUUAAAAAUGGGAGUUUCUCUGCACAAGCUCUCUGCCUGCUGCCAUUCACAAAGGAUGUGACUUGCUUCUCCUUGCCUUCUGCUAUGAUUGUGAGGCCUCCCUAGCCAUGUGGAACUGUGAGUCCAAUUAA
ensembl:lncRNA LINC02882 long intergenic non-protein coding RNA 2882